UACGACUACAUAUCAGGCAUAUCAAUAAGCGGAGGAAAAGAAACUAACAAGGAUUCCCUUAGUAACGGCGAGUGAAGCGGGAAGAGCUCAGAUUUGAAAUCUUCAAGGUUCUACCUUGACGAAUUGUAGUUUAAAGAAGUGUUUUCUGUUAGAUGAGUAGCAAAAGUUCCUUGGAAUGGGACAUCAUAGAGGGUGAGAAUCCCGUAUUUGGUUAUUCAUUCUAGCUUUGUGAUACACUUUCAAAGAGUCGGAUUGUUUGGGAAUGCAGUCCAAAAUGGGUGGUAAAUUUCAUCUAAAGCUAAAUAUUGGCGAGAGACCGAUAGCGAACAAGUACCGUGAGGGAAAGAUGAAAAGAACUUUGAAAAGAGAGUUAAACAGUACGUGAAAUUGUCAAAAGGGAAGCGUUUGACACCAGUGUUGUUUUUCCAAAAAUCAAUUACGAAUGGCUUGAUUUUGUGUUGUAUUGACCUUAUCAGCUUUCUUCACUUUUUUCGAGUCUUUCUUAAUGCACUUUUUGGUUAACAAGUCAACAUCAAUUUCUUUUGUUGUAAAAGAGUAUUCGGAAGGUGGCUUUCUUUUCGGAGAAAGUGUUUAUAGCCCUAUACUUCUACAAUCGGAGAGAUUGAGGUCUGCAGCGUAGAUCCUUCGGGGUUAGAUACACUUUGUGCUAAGUUGUAGCCUUUUCAUAGACAACUUGUUGACUAUGUUUAGUCAUGCGGCUUACUCGCUUAGUGCUAUUUUACCUACGCUUAGGAUGUUGAGUAGCGACAUACGCAC
rnacentral:rRNA from 1 species